rnacentral:lncRNA from 1 species
GGAAGGGCCCGUUGAGUUCUUAAGAAUCAUAAUAUUUUUUUCGUCUAAAUGCUAAAACGGAUUUCUUUUUCUUUUCAAAAACUCCGUUUUUCUCAUUUUUCUGAGCAUGUUUUUGAAAAAUUCACUUCAUUGAGUUAGUCAGACCACCUCUUCUUUUUAUAUGAUAGUAUCUAUCGGUACUUUCAAAGUUGGAAGAAAGAAGGAAGAACUCAAUUUCUUGGCUGCUAUCAUAUAUUAGAUAGCGUGCAAAUCCUUUCUAUACUAAUCUAAUGUAGAACCUUACUCUCUAUAUUACAUUACUCUAUUGAUUUUUUAUUGUUUUCCUAUUUCAUCAUCAAAUUUUUUAUAAGAUAAGUUGAUUGAAGAAGUUUUAUUUAAUUAAUAAAAUUUCCUCUCUUUUUUGUUUUGUUUGUCCACCAAUUCAUAUAUUAUAUGUAAGGGGGUAGGUGUAGGGUUUCUGAUACAUCUGGAAAAAUUGAAACCAAGACUAGGAAUUUUUAACAAACAGGAUCAAGAAUCAUUACUCUUUCGUUUCGACACAAGAAAAAAGGAUUUUUCUACACCCCUUUCUUGUGUCGAAGACUAGGAAGACAAAUAAUCCCUCCUAGAAUUUUUUCUUCCCCGCAUUUAUCCCCCGCUUCCUUAUGUCUAGUAUUUAGACAAAUUUGACUUUCUUUCUAUUUAGAAUAGAAAACUAUUGAUACGUUUUAUGGCAGUGAAAUCUGGCAAUAGUAACAUAGUUACACUACUCCAAUUAAAAAAAACUAAAUCAAAAUAAAUGAAAGCCAAAUACUCUUCUUCAAAAUCUACAUACUAUGUGGUACAAGGGAUUCCCAGCAUCUCGUAGAAAAAGAGUAUGUAAUGUAGAUUUUGAAGAAGAGUAUAAAUAAGACAAAGGAGUUUUCAUAAUUUCAUUUUUUUGAUCAUAAAUAAUCGCCAACAAGAAUUUGGUUCUUUUUACGUACUUGAUAUCGAUAAAUCUGCGAAUCUAGAAAUUCAUUUCGGCCAAUUGAACCUUCUCGAACUGUUUCUUUUUAAGAACCAAAAAGAUUUGUGCCAAAAUAACAGAUGCCAAGAAGAACAAAAGUCCUUGGACACGUAAUGGAUCUUGAAGUACUAUUUCUGCAUCUCCCUGACCAAAUCCGCCUACAUUAGGAUUACUCGUUAAUGGUUGAUCAAAUUUGAUAGAUUCGCCCUCGGAAACAAGAAGUUCUGGUCCGGGAGGGAUAAUAUCAACCACUUGACGUCCCUCCGACGCAUCCGUUAUGGUUAUCUCAUACCCCCCUUUUUCUUUUCGUAUGAUUUUGCUUACUAUACCUGCUGCUGUAGCAUUAUAAACUGUAUUGUUACUCUUGUUGCCGUCGGGAUAAAUCUGACCCCUUCCCCUGUUCCCGCCUACGUAUAUAGGAUAUUUUAAGAAGUGAACAUCCUUCUUAGUAGCAGGGUCCGGGGAAAGAAUAGGGAAGGUUAUUUCACUAUAUUUUUUACCAGGGACAGGGCCUACCACAAGAAUAUUUGUUUUAUUGGGGCGAUAGCUCUGAAAAGACAAAUUGCCAAUCUUUUCUUUCAUCUCAGGAGAAAUACGAUCGGGAGGAGCUAAUUCAAACCCCUCCGGUAAAAUAAGAACAGCUCCGACGUUCAACCCCCCUUUUUUACCAUUAGCAAGAACCUGUUUCAGUUGCAUAUCAUAAGGAAUUCGAACAACUGCUUCAAAUACAGUAUCAGGAAGUACCGCUUGUGGAACCUCAAUUUCCACGGGCUUAUUAGCUAAAUGGCAAUUGGCACAUACAAUACGCCCAGUCGCUUCUCGUGGAUUUUCAUAACCCUGCUGUGCAAAAAUGGGAUAUGCACUUGAAAUGGACGUCCGAGUUAAGAUAUAUAUCAUGAGCGAUACGGAAAUAGAUCGAGUAAUCUGUUUCUUUAGCCAAGAAAAAGCAUUUCUAGUUUGCAUGGUCCAAUCAUUGAUCGCGAAAAUUUCUACAAUAAAUUGGGUAGGUCGCUAGUAUAGUUCCCUAGCCACGAUUCUGCUAUUUGCUGGAAUAAUCUAGGAUGAAUCUUCCCGAUGGUUAGAAAUAGGAAGAGUAAAUAUGAUUUUCAAUACUUUGCUUAUGUACAACUACAAAGUACUAAGCAUUCUAAUUGGAUUAGAUUAAUAUCAAUGGAUCCUUUAUCAUUCAGUUAUUGAAUCAUAAAGCAGUAAAAUUGACGGAGACAGACUAGUUAAAUAACGGAAAAGCCAAUAUUUAAAACAUGUAUCAAAAAUUACUGGAAGGAUGCAAACAAGAAUAGUUAUAGUUUGCUCAUUCGCAACAACUCCAACCUCGUUAUAGAUAGAGCGUAUAACGAAUUCCCAACCUGGGGGUGAAUGAUAUCCGAGAAAAAACUCACUUACUAGAAGAAUACACAAAGCUUUUGCUGUGUCACUUAAGUUAUAUAGGAAUUCCUGAGCCCAAGAGUUAAGAAUAACAAGUUUUUCCUUACCCAAAAUUGAAUACCCGCUUAGAAUACCAAACCAGAUUAUAUUUGUUGAGAAGUGCAAAAUCGUAUCCAUACGAUUCUCAUUUUGUAUCGUGAUUAAUUGGAUCGUUUCUUUAUGGAUUCCUAUCCCAAACUCUUCGAGAUGUGUUUCCGAGUAUUCCUUGAUCAUUUCGUCCAAGAAGAGGAGUUCCUCUAAUUCUCUGAAUUUUUCUAGAAGACUCUUUUCUUGAAUAUUAUUCAAGACAAUUUGGGAUUGCCCAGUAUUCCACCAAUUAGUAACCCAAGAUUCCAGCCAUUUAUUAACUGAGAAAGAAAUCCACCAGGGCAAAAAUACUAUAGAUGCAAGAUAGAAAAGAGGAGUGAAUGCUUUCUUUUUUGCCAUUUUUUCGUCUGUAAAUUGUUAAUCAACCCAUUCGUACACUCUAUGCGAUCGAAUAUUUCUUACACACAUGAGUUUUAUACAAGGUAUCGAACUUAUGAAUCUAUUUUCUUUGUGAUUUUGUGGUUAGUCUUUGAAUCUAGAAAGAAUACAGAAAUAGGCUAAGAAUUCACUUCGAAUGAAGAAAUUGAGAAUAUUGUUUCCUGAUAUCUCAAUUGGUCAAAUUAAAAAUUAAGUGUAUCCUUUCGAUGAAUGACCGAAAGAACCACUUUAAGUAAUGAAUAUUAUUCAGAUUUUGAGACGAAAGAACUCCUUUGCUAUCAAAAUAUCCAAUAUUUCGAAAAAAUUUCAUUGAUUACCCAUAGUCAGGAAUAGAAUAAUUGAGGGAAAGAUAUUAGGAUGAUAAAAAAAAAAUGACUAGCAAAGGAUAAAUUGGCUAGUUCUCAGUAUUUAAUUAAGAAAUCCAAUUGUUGGUCAUUAAAGAAUACAAAAGAAAGAAUUUCAAAUUUACAAGAUACGAUCUAUCUGGAUCUAAAGUGUCAAUUCCAACAAAUAUUGAACUAAAAAAAAUUCUUGCUUUCGAAAUGGUUUGCCGUCUGAGAUGAAUCUAUUAUUUCGAUUUGUUAUUUGUUAUUGAAUUGCGUGCACAUAAAGACCAUAAAAAGAGUUUCGUUUUAUGGUUCUUUCAUAUACGUUUUCUUUAAUUGAAUGAACGUUCUGAUUCUCAAUUUAUCAAAAUACUUCAAUUGGUACACGCAAGAAAUAGGCUAAUUCAGCAGCCUUUUGUUCAAUUUCUCGUGGAGUCAAAUUCUCAUCAGUACGGGUCAAGGGAAUGGACCCCUGGCCUCGGAUGUCCAUAUAAAGAACACGACGAGCAUAAAUACCCUCUUUAACUUCUAUUCUAACGGACUGAAUAUCUUUUAUAAGGAAUCGGAGGAAUAUGCGACGAUUUUUUCCCGGAAAUCCCCAACGAAAGAUACAGACUAUUCCCUCCUUUCUAUCGAAUCGAUCAUAACCACUACCUACAUUCCAGGAAAUUGUGCACCACAAAUAAGAGCUAAUAAAGAGACCCGCAAUUCCGUAGAAAGACAUCACGAUUCCUUGUGGAAAAAAAAUGAUUUGCUGAGGCGGAAAAAAAGAUAGCAAAUUUCUACCAAGAUAACUGGAAGUUCCAACUAAUAAGAAGCCUAAUGAACCUAAAAAAAGGAUCAAGGCCCAGCAGAAAUUACUUAUUUUUCGAGACCCCGUUAUAAGUUCUAUCCAUAUAUCGUCUGAUCGCCAAGUCAUACUUUACUCGAUUGCAUUUUAUUGGAAUUGAGAUAAUACCCCAGAAAAAUUUGACUUUACUUUUUUGUUUCCGAAGUAACUCUCAUCAACUAGCACUAGUUUGAGGUGAACUAGCACUAGUUUGAUGUCAACCUUUAGGAGUAAUUCAUCAAAUUGGUUAAAUCUAAAAUAAUAACAUACUCUUUAUUUAAUACGAUCCCACUAUACAUAUCGAUAUACAUAUAGAUUCACCGACUACAUUUCAGCCAUCCAGAGAUCCUGAUCUAUUUGAAAAUUGCUAGAAUUGAUAUAUCCAUAUAUCAUGUUUCUGCGGGCAUAAGAGUUUUUUCCUUUAUGUUCGGUGGAAAUCACAUGUUAUACUAUACUCCAAUAAAUAGAUAUCCGUGUUAUGAUACAAGUCCACGUUUUCAAAAAAAAAAAUGGAUGAGAUUGGGUCCCAGCGGAUCUAAACAAUCUUGUUUUUUUGAACAUGAAGAAAUAAAGAAGCCAUUGCAAUUGCCGGAAAGACUAGGCCUACUAACGGCACAAAAAUAGAUGGAAGGUUCAAAUUUGUCAUAGAAGGGGUACCUCGAUUUACUAUUUGUAUCUGUUAUUAUGUUAUUAUAUAAAUAAAGAUAUCUUGUAAUAAUUAUAAUUAAAUUAAGAAUUUGAAUUCUAAUUAGAUAUUAGAUAAUAUUUAUUAUUAAUAGAAUUUGAAGAAUUUGAAAUUCUUAGUAUAGAUCGAAGUAUCGAUAUAUCUAAAUCUAACUGAGUACGUAUAAUAAGAAUAAGUGCAAAGAAUGUAGAACUGUAGAACUAAAUAAAUGGACUUAUUCAUCUCCUCCAUGAGAAAGAUAUGUAUGAUAAUAAACUUUAUUAUUUUUCUUCAUUUCUUUGUCUUUUGUUCUUGUCUUCUACUUUUCUAAAAAUAGAUAAAGAGUUUUUUACAGAUUAUCGACGGAUUCAUUCGAAUCCGACCCAACAUGGAUUUUUAGCUAAAAUGGUUUUUCGGUAGAUAGAGAAAGAUACAAAACUCUAUUAUCUCUAUUGAAAUUUCAAAUUAUAUACCUAAGACAAGACCAAAUUCGUUUUAUUUUACUAAUUUCACGAAAGGAAGAACUCACUCUUGGUGAUAAAGGUUUCUUGAUUCGUAAUCAGGAAUAUAGGUCAAAAAAAGAGUUAUCCUCAACUUUCGUUUUAAUUCUUUCUACAAUUCGAUCUUCUAUCACCAAAGAAAAGGCCAUUAUUAUCUUAUUUACUUUGAUUCCGAUAAACUAACUACUUUUUGCUACAAACACAAAAAAAAUAAUUGAACUUAGUGCUCUACUUGAUUUUGCUUGACUUUUGAUUCAAAGGAAAAAAGGCGUGGAGCUUAAAUAACUCACUCAGAACGCUUUUUAAAAGAUUACGUGGUACAAUUAGGUCGAAUAAACCCUUCUGGAAUAAGUAUUCAGCUGCUUGUGAACCUUCGGGUACUGUUUUAUUCAAUGUUUGUUCAAUUACUCUUUUACCUGCAAAUGCAAUGUAGGCAUUGGGUUCGGCAAUAAUGAUAUCCCCCAACAUACCAAAACUAGCUGUCACUCCACCAGUUGUCGGAGAUGUAAGGAUUGAUACAUAAAAUAAUUUUUUAUUUAAUUGAUAAUCAUAUAAAGCAGACGAUAUUUUAGCCAUUUGCAUCAAGCUCAAACUUCCUUCCUGCAUGCGCGCCCCCCCAGAAGCACACACUAUCAUAAGAGGUAAAUUUUGAUUGGCAGCGUGUUCAAUCAAACGGGUGAUUUUCUCUCCGACUACGGAUCCCAUACUACCCCCCAUAAACUGAAAAUCCAUAACCCCAAUUGCUACGGGAAUGCCGUUUAGUUGGCCUAUGCCUGUUUGAACAGCCUCGGUUAAUCCUGUCUUUCUUUGAUAAGAAUCAAUACGGUCCUUAUAAGGCUCCUCCUCCGAAUGAAAUUCAAUGGGAUCCAGCGAGACCAUGUCUUCAUCCAUAGGAUCCCAAGUACCCGGAUCGAUCAAAAGUUCAAUUCUAUCCGAACUACUCAUUUUCAAAUGAUAUCCACAUUGUUCACAAAUAUUCAUUUUUGAUUUCAAAAAUUUCUUAUAAUUUAAUCCAUAACAAUUUUCGCAUUGAACCCACAAAUGCUUGUAUUUUUGAGUUACCUCGAGAUCAUUAGAACUUUCUCUUAUAGUUAAAUCACUGUCCUUUGUGCGAGUUCGUCUACUGGAACCCUCGUUUUCACUACUAUUUAGACUUUGACCACUACAAAUGGCCCUAUAAAUGUAACUGUCACCGUUACUCUCACUACCACUUAUAAUGGAAGUAUCUAUACAGAUUUGAGACUGAAGAUAAUUAUCAAUGCAACUAUUAAUGUGAUUAUUCCAACUAUAUUGAGUAUCAUACAUGUAAGAAUUAUAGUAGGGAUCUUCGCCCCUAAAUCCAUUAUUCAGAUAACUCGAGUUUCGAUAACUAUAAAAAGAACUUUCUAGUUCACUCAGAAAAGAAUGAUCGUUGUCAACCUCAAAAAUAUGAUUUUCAAUAUCAAAAUAGAUGGAAUAACUGUCCCCAUUCCUAUCACUAACUAAAAAAGUGUCAUUAGAGAUGAAAUUCCAAAUGUCUUUAACGCCGAAUAAAUAAUCAACAUUACUGCAACUAUGAAUGUUUUUCACUUUUAGAUUUGGAUCUUCACUGGUAUUUUCAAUAGGACCAAGACUGCCCAUUGAUUUAUUUAGCCCACACCUGCGUUCGAACUCCUUCUUAAACAACAUCGAAUUAAACCACCAUCUUUCCAUAGAGUUUUCUUGCCCCCUAUUUGCAUGAAAAUACAAUAGAUGAAUAGUCAUUCGCUAUAAAAUUCUUUAUUUGAAUAUCUUAUUUCCUAUCAGACUAAGCAUAGAAAUCCAAUCACUAGGAUUAUUAACUAAUACGGAUUGUGAGUAUUCAAAAAAAGUUCUGAAUCUGGGGGAACACUUCACUAUAUAUUAAUAUGUUGGAACCCCCUUUUAUUAUUAAAAAGAAUAUAAAAAUAAUAGAAUUUUUGAUAAAGGGCGGCUUCUCCUAUGUCGUGUCAAAUUCGCAUCGAAAAAAAGAGAUUUGUCCUCUCUUAUAAAUAUAAAGAAAUAAAAAAAAUUCGUAAAAUCUCGUCUAAUACUAAUAUCUAAUCACUAACUAAUCUAACAAUCUAAAAUCUAAUAAUAAGUAAUAAAUUAAGGUUCUAUUUCAACACGGAACAAAGGGGACAAUAUACAGGAUGGGUAGAAAGAGUUGGAAUACUUGGCUUGAUUCAGGGAAACUACAAACUACAGGAUAGAAAAGAAUAUACCAAUCCUAAGGAUCCGUAGGAUUAAUUGUGGAUCCAAGACAAUAAUAGAAAGAUUUGAGUCUUAGAUUUUGAUUUAGUUUUCUAGAUUUUGUAUUUCAAAUCUUGAUCAAAAUAUAUGCAAUAGAAUCUUAGUUGUAUUCGGCCCAAUCUUUUACUAAAAGGAUUGAGCCGAAUUAAAUUGUAAUGUAAUUCAAUUAAGAGAACGAAGGAUAAUUACUUGAGUUCUUUCUCCUUAUCCUUCUUUAUUUCCUGCUAAUUUAUCUGCUAAUGUCUACUGUUUUUACUUAUCCAAAACGUCCACUGCUGCAAAAUUAAAUACGAUCUCUUUCCAUACCUCACAAGCAGCAGCUAGUUCCGGGCUCCAUUUGCAAGCCUCGCGAAUAAUCUCAUUACCUUCCCGAGCAAGAUCACGUCCUUCAUUACGAGCUUUUACACAUGCUUCUAGAGCUACUCGAUUAGCUACGGCACCUGGCGCAUUACCCCAAGGAUGUCCUAAAGUUCCUCCACCGAACUGUAGUACGGAAUCAUCCCCAAAGAUCUCGGUCAGAGCAGGCAUAUGCCAAACGUGAAUACCUCCUGAAGCCACAGGUAGAACACCUGGUAAAGAGACCCAAUCUUGAGUGAAAUAAAUACCGCGACUUCUAUCUUGUUCAACAAAAUCAUCACGCAGUAAAUCAACAAAGCCCAAAGUUAUGUCUCUUUCACCUUCAAGUUUACCUACUACGGUACCAGAGUGAAUAUGAUCUCCACCAGACAUACGUAACGCUUUUGCUAAUACCCGGAAGUGGAUACCAUGAUUCUUCUGUCUAUCAAUAACCGCAUGCAUUGCACGGUGGAUGUGAAGAAGUAGACCAUUAUCUCGGCAAUAAUGAGCCAAGGUAGUAUUUGCGGUAAAUCCCCCCGUUAAGUAGUCAUGCAUUACGAUCGGAACGCCCAAUUCUCUAGCAAAUACAGCUCUUUUGAUCAUUUCUUCGCAUGUACCUGCAGUAGCAUUCAAGUAAUGCCCUUUGAUUUCACCUGUUUCAGUCUGUGCUUUAAAAAGUGCUUCGGCACAAAAUAAGAAACGAUCUCUCCAACGCAUAAAUGGUUGUGAGUUCACGUUCUCAUCAUCUUUGGUAAAAUCAAGUCCACCGCGAAGACAUUCAUAAACAGCUCUACCGUAGUUUUUUGCAGAUAACCCCAAUUUAGGUUUAAUAGUACAUCCCAACAGGGGACGACCAUACUUGUUCAAUUUAUCUCUUUCAACUUGGAUCCCAUGAGGCGGACCUUGGAAAGUUUUAACAUAAGCAGGAGGGAUUCGCAGAUCUUCCAGACGUAGAGCGCGCAGGGCUUUGAACCCAAAUACGUUACCUACAAUGGAAGUAAACAUAUUGGUAACGGAACCUUCUUCAAAAAGGUCUAAAGGGUAAGCUACAUAAGCAAUAUAUUGAUCUUUUUCUCCAACAACGCGCUCGAUGCGGUAGCAUCGCCCUUUGUAACGAUCAAGACUGGUAAGUCCAUCGGUCCAUACAGUUGUCCAUGUACCAGUAGAAGAUUCGGCAGCUACCGCGGCCCCUGCUUCUUCAGGUGGAACUCCAGGUUGAGGAGUUACUCGGAAUGCUGCUAAUAUAUCAGUAUCCUUGGUUUGGUACUCAGGAGUAUAAUAAGUCAAUUUGUACUCUUUAACACCAGCUUUGAAUCCAACACUUGCUUUAGUCUCUGUUUGUGGUGACAUAAAUCCCUCCCUAGAACUCAUGAAUUAAAAAUUAUCACAACAACAAGGUCUACUCGACAUGAAUUCCGCGUUAAUGAAACUUUUCACAGGAAUCUGUCACAAAAUUUCCAACUAAUACUAAUAUUAUCAAUUAAUCAGAAUGGUUGAUUAUUAGACCAUGGUAUUUGAUUUGCCAAAUACAUCAUUAUUGUAUACUCUUUCAUAUAUAUAGCGCAACCCAAUUUUGAUUUUUUAUCUUUUUUUUUUUUGAAAUGGAAAUACCUAGCUAACCUAAAUAAUAAGAACUUCCCCCUUGACAGUGGUAUAUGUUGUAUAUGUAAAUCCUAGAUGUGAAAAUAUAUGGAAUUCCUCUAUGAAUCUAUGAAAGGUAUAAAAAAGAAAGAAAAACGCAAAGAAAAGAAUAGGCUAGGCAUAAAUCGAUAUGCUGAAAUUGAAAUAAAAAAGAAAUAAGAAGAGGAGCCCAUUAGAUACAAAUAAUGAAUCGUAAUAGAAAUAGAAAAUAAAGUUCAGGUUCGAAUUCCAUAGAAUCGAUAAUAUGGAUGGGCUUGUCUAUAAUGGUAGACAAAUGAAAGACUUUCUCAAGAUUUUGAUUCAUCCACUUGAGAUUGUUAAAUGAAAAUAGGUUGGGUGAGCUGCCAAAUUAACUCAGUCUCAUUGAAUAAGUAAACAAUUGGAUUGGUUCAAUUGCAUGGUGCCAACGAAAUCGAGUGCUAAUUCCGAUUUUAUUGAAUUAACCGAUCGACGUGCUAGCGGACAUUUUUUUUGAAUUCGAUAAUUUUGGAAAAAACAUUUCGACAUAUUUAUUUUAUUAUUAUGAGAAUCAAUCCUACUACUUCUGGUUCUGGG